AAAAGCACAUACUUUUCGAGUAAGCACGUGAAUUUAUAAACAUUUCUACAUGAAUCACUCCUGGCAGAGGUGCUUACAGCAAAAGCACACCCAAAAGCACGUACUUUUUCCAGUAAGCACUUGAAAUAACAAAAAAAUUGUGCAUGUUUAUGAUAAAAUCACUUCCAGCAGAAGUGCUUACAACAUAAGCAGACCCAACAGCACAUACUUUUCGAGUAAACACUUGAAUUAUUAAACAUUUCUACAUGUUCAUGAUAAAAGCACUUCUAGCAGAAGUGAUUGAUUAUACCUAAGCAGACCCAAACCAAUCCGAAAUUAUUAAAAAAAAAACAAAAUGCUUGAGGGGGUUUGUUUCUGACCUGAGCGCGUAAAUGAGAGAGCCGCCGGACAAAGCGACGGUGAAAGCUCCCCUCUCCUUCACAAACUUGGCCGACAGGUCGGCGGUGUACUUCGCCAGACGCACCGCCACUUCCUCCGCCGUCUGAAACUUCUCCACCUUCUUCUGACACUGACCAGCCAUCUCUGCUGCCGCCGAUGAUGCCGAUGAUGCGGAAAUUGGGUUCUUGAAAUUCAAGCGAACGGGUUUAAUCGAGAGGGAUAGAGAUCUUGGCGCCGAUCGCAAUAAGAUUAUCGCCGGCGCGCGAGAUGUACGCGAUGAGGAGAGAGUCGUGCCGAGUGAGAGGGAAAGACGGGUCGGGGAGCGUACGGAGGCCAUGCGCAGUGCGCACCCGGGCUUACUUUAGGUAUUGGCUGCGGAAAAAAACCGACCGGGCCACAAAAGUCAAACGGUGAGUGAUGAAGUACGGUUACGGUGGACUGCAGUUGGAGGGAGUUGGUCAGUGACUGUUAACUGACUUGGGCGGUGAACCCAAUGGACUUGUGGAUAUGAAUUAAGGCCCGUUUGAUAAUUAUUUUUUUAUUUAAAUUACGUCGAUAAUUUUACAACAUUUACCAACUCGUGCGGUGCAAGAUAUUUGUAAUUCAGUUGGUUAUGUACAAAAUUUACGAUUCACGUGUAUAUGAGUUAGCGUCUACUUAAAAUUUUAAAAUUGCAUUGGUAAAAAGCUCUUCCAACUUUUAUACAAUUUAGAAGCACUUAUAAGCAUGUCGAAUAUGACACAACUUCAUCUUCUUCUUUUUUGUCCAGGACACAACUUCAUCUAAAAAACGUUUUUUAGUUCGAAAAACAUUUUCUAUUAAACAGUGUCAAAUACAAAUACAUAAACUGUGUCAACAAUACUUUCAUUAACAAAUAAACACAUUUUGAUAAACUAGGUCAAAAGCGCUUUUGGUAGCAAAAAUACUUUAUCCUGAAAGAAAAGCUUUUGAUCGCUUGAAAGUUACGUUUGAGACAAAUUUUGGACAGCUAAGAGUGCUUUAUGACAUAAAAAAAAAUCACUCCUAAUUACAUUUGGUUGAAAAACUUAUAAGCAUUUUUUAGUCGUAAAAGCAUAAUAGCUCGUUUAUAUGUGUUUUUAAAAUGAUUAAAAACGCUUUUAGAGAAAAUAUUUUUGGAUUCCAAAAGCACUUAAAGUGCUUUAUGCAAGAAGCACCAAUUAUGUGCUUCUUCCAGGAAUCACCAAUUAUGUGCUGCUUCCAGGAAGCACUUUAAGUGUUUUUCCAAGAUUUAUUUGCAUUUUUACUAAGAAUUAAUUCUAAAACAUGUUCACCAAAAACAUUUUCAAUCAUUUUAAAAACACAUCCAAACGAGUUACAAGUGUUUUUAGUCUAAGCAAUAUCAAACAACUUUCGCAAACAUGCUUUUACUACUUAAGAGCUGAGGCCCACUUAAGACAAACUUACUUGCAUGCAAUCUAAACCACUACUGAAAUAUAUACAUCACAGAGGACCCACUUAAGACAACUUUCGCAGUCUGUGUCUGCGGCAAGGUGCUUUUCCGACGCCGACGGUUAAACAACCGCCGUGGUACGAGGGAACGGAGAGCAGCAGAAUAUAUAGUAGCUUUACCACUACUGAAAUAUACAUCACAGAGGACCCAAAAGGUCACCAGUUCUUAUUGCCACCACAGAGGACCAAAAAGGUCACGAGUUCUUACUACUAGCAAGAAAAGCAAGCAGCGAAUCACAGUGAUUUCUGCCUACAUUAUUGAACACAAACACAUUAACAUCGACAUGUAAAUAGGAAAUACAUUGGAUGCAAGUGCAACGCAUCGACAUUCUGCUCCUACAGCUUGGAAGCUGCAUCGUGAUCUAAAAACCAAGUUACCUCGUCUUCAGCUGCGAGCAACUGAGCAGGCAAAGUAUCAGGAUGCUGAAUAUUUCCGAGUGCUUUCUGCACGGCAUCAGCUGUGUCAUGGCCUGUCACCACCAUUGCAUUGUAUGCAGCAGAGUUGAUCACCGGAAAAGUAAAAGUAAUUCUCUGUGGAGGUGGCUUUGGGGAGUCCAUAAUGUGAGUCACCCAUUUCGUCUUCUCGUUGCAAAGCGCAUGACCAGGGAAUAGAGAAGCAAGAUGUCCAUCUGGACCCAUACCCAGAAGUAUGAGAUCAAACUUUGGAAAUCCAGUAGCUUUUGAAGUGGCAAUCACAUUGCGCUGGACCAAAUGUUUAAGACAGGUUUCGUAAUCUUCUGCUGCUGCCUCGGCCGAAAGUGCAUCAUUAAUGGCGUAAACCUGACCAGGGGGAAUCAGUACCUGCCAAAAUCCAAAAUUUAGCAAGAUUAAGCUGAUGAAUUAACGACCUUGUGCCAUUAGGCCCUUGGAGGGCUUAGAAUGCUUUAGAUCAUAGUCACGCAUCAAAUGUUUACUCUAGACAGAGUUAAAAGAGUACAUUUCUUUCUUCAUCUCAUAACCAUCAUCAUUGCCAUAUCGAACCCUAAAAACAGAAGCACGACCCGAAAUUCCCAAAUUUCAGAUUGUCCAUUAAUUACACUGAUACAAAGAGCCAUAUCACUCACCAAUCUCAUUCACAUAUAAAUCAAAUUACUAUGAAUCUUCACAAGGAGCAAGCAAAACAAUAAGAGCAACUAAAAUUAAAAAUCGACCACAUAAAAAUCACGGCUUUGACACGCAAUAUUGCAAAAUUUAGUACUUUGACACAGCAUUCAGAAGAAAGCAUAAAAAAUUGUACCUUACAGAGCAAACCAUCAAAAGCAAGUUUAUAGUUACUGUCGGGGUGAUCCUUCUUCACCACUCUCUCGUCCAGCCAGAACACAUGCCAUUUCCCCCACUCCACCGUAUCCUUAUACGGCUCUUCCGCUAAUUUCCUGUAAAUCCAAACAUACAAAAUACCCACAACAAUACAAGAAAAGAAAAAAGCAGUAAACAGAACAAUCAAACUUGCUAUUGGACAACCAAAAACGCUUCUAAAUAGGCAACAAAAAUGAAUGGCGCUUAUGGGUCGUGGCAGGAAUGCUUACAAUAUAAGCAGACCCAACUUCUCGAGUAAGUACUUGAAUUAAUAGCAUGUCUAUGAUAAACAAAUUUCUUCUAGUAGAAGUGCUUAGAACAUAAGCAGACCCAAAAGCACAGACUUUUCGAGUAAGCACGUGAAUUAAUGAACAUUUCUACAUGUAUACGAUAAAAUCACUCCUAGCAGAAGUGUUUACAGAAGAAGCAGACCCAAAAGCACGUACUUUUCCGGUAAGCACUUGAAUUAACAAAAUUGUUUAUGAUAAAAUCACUUCUAGCAGAAGUGCUUACAACAUAAGCAGACCCACCAGCACAUACUUUCGAGUAAACAUUUGAAUUACUAAGCAUUUCUACAUGCUCAUGAUACACUUCUAACAGAAGUGCUUAUAACUAACCUAAGCAGACCGAAACCAAUCCGAAAUUAUCAAAAAGAAAAUGCUUGAGGGGGUAUGUUUCUGACCUGAGCGUGUAAAUGAGAGAGCCGCCGGACAAGACGACGGUAAAAACUCCCCUCUCCUUCACAAACUUGGCCGACAGGUCGGCGGUGUACUUCGCCAGACGCACCGCCACUUCCUCCUCCGUCUGAAACUUCUCCACCUUCUUCUCACACUGGCCCGCCAUCUCUGCCUACGCCGAUGAUGCGGAAAUUGGGUUCUUGAAAUUCGAGCGAACGGGUUUAAUCGAGGGGAUGGAGAUCUUGGUGCCGAUCGGAUUGAGAUUAUUCCCGGCGCUCGAGAUGUAUGCGAUGGGGACAGAGUUGUGCGGAAUGAGAGGGAAAGCUGGGUCGGCGGGAAUAUACGGAGGCCAUAAUCGGUGCGCAACCAGGCUUACUUUAGGUAGUGGCUGAGGAAAUGGCCGACACGUGUCGAAAGACAGGUCAAUUGUCUAUUAUCAACCACAUCGAUAUUGUCUUCCAUUUGUUAAUUAUUUCCAGUCUGACAAUUAUGAAAUUUUAUCACAAAAGACCAUAGUAUUAGUUGAAGUGUGGUUAGAAUAUUUAAACUUUUUCUUCAUAGAUACGUAUGGUAGUUGUGAGAUAUUUUAUCACGUCCCUCAUGGGCUAUAGAUUAGGAUAUCUCAUUACGCUUGGAACCCAAUUAAUGGGUCAUACUUGGGAGGUCUACACAUCAGAGGCAGAUUGUCUGCCCUCCUCUUUGGGUAUCAUUCUCAUCCCCUUCUAUUUUGUGCAGUCACGGUUAAGCCACGUCAACAUUUUAUAUUAAUUUUUUUUAUAGAGAUAAUAAGACAAAAAACAAUAAGAAUAUAAAAUGUUGACAUGACUUAACCGUGACCACACAAAUAGAAGGGGAUAAAAGGGCAUCUAAAGAGGAGGGUAGACAAUCUGCCUCCCUACACAUCGGUAGCCAAGUAGAGCCAAUGAGACACCCUACCCGCGGGGCCAAGGACCCACCCAUCACGUGACAGUACGGCACCCGCUCCAUGGCUUUGAUACCAUAUUGAAAUCUUCAUAGAGACAGGUCAAAAGUUCACUUGCAAAAAUAUAUUAUACCGAACUUGUUAAUUACCUACCACUUGCAUAGUUUAGCAGGUGUGGGGCUUAAUCCAAAAAAUCCUCGGUAUUAAUUGGAGGAGCGUUGGAUAUUUAAACUCUUUCUUUUAUUACAGACAUGGUUGAUGUAAGAUAUUUCAACAACAGGAACCCAAACAACAAAAGGCGAGUGAGGCUGUGUAGUCGGUUGGAAUUGAUCAGUAACGUGUGUUGGAGUUUUUGAUAGAAAUCUCCUUCUAGUUCAUUGUCCCACGUUAAUGACUAUCAAAAGUUUCUCACUUUAUAACAUUUUGUCCAAGUGAUUAGAGAGAUGGACCGGAACAAACUCCUAGUAUAAACAACAGUAGAGCAAACCAGUUUUGCUGCUGCCAGGAGCGAGACACACACAGAGACGGGGGAGAGAAGAAAGAGAGCCGGAGAAUAUGCAGAUCUUUGUGAACCCUAACAGGGAAGACUAUCACCCUCGAGGUGGAGUCUAGCGACACCAUCGACAAAGUCAAAGGCCAAGAUCCAAGACAAGGAAAGUAACACCAUCCACACGUAAGAUGUUUGAACACAGAGAUUGCAUGACAAAAUGUCACCACUUCUUAUUUACAAGCAAGAAAUACUGAAAGUACAUGACAGAGGACCAAAAUGGUCACCUCUUCUUAUUUACUAGCAUAGCAAGAAAAGCAAGCAGUGAAUCACAUUGAUUUCUGCCUACAUUAUUGAACACAAACACGUUAACAUCGACAUGUACAUAGUAAAUACAUUGGACGCAAGUGCAACGAGUUGCAAAGCCAUCGACAUUCUGCUCCUACAGCUUCGAAGCUGCUGCUUGGUCUAGGAACCAAGUUACCUCCUCUUCAGCUGCAAGCAACUGAGCAGGCAAAGUGCAAGGAGGCAAACUAUUUCCAAGUGCUAUUUUCACGGCAUCCGCUAGAUCAUCACCCGUCACCACCAUUGCAUUAUAUGCAGCAGAGUUGAUCACUGGGAAGGUAAAAGUAAUCCUCUGUAGCGAUUGAAUCAAUAAUCUGAAGGCCAUCUACUAGCACUGCUUACUUCUACUUAAGUUGGAGAUAGGUCCUAAUAUUAAGAUGGUGGUGGCUUUUUAUUUGGUGCGUGGCGGAUAUCUAGAGUUAGGCUAGUUAUUUUUGGUUUGUAACUGUAUCAACGAUUCAAAAUAGGCUCAAUUGAUAUCAGUUCACAUGUCUCCUAUUUUCGUCAUUGAGGUUAAUAUAAAGAGGUAUUCGUCGAUUUGCAUCUGAACUUGUAAGACGCUGUCAAUUCACCUCAUGAACUUUACUUUCGCCCAUGAAUUCUCAUAAUUAACCACGUUCCACCCUACUGUUUAUACUUACAUAGUGCCAUCUAAUAUUUUAAUGUCUCACUGGCUAUCCACGUGAUCACCUAUGAAAGGCUAACCGUGCGACGACGACACAUUUAUAUCAGCUGAUCGUGGCGAAACGACCACCUACGUCGUCGUGGGCUUCGCCUCCAAGCUCUUCCACUCUUCUCCAACCCCAAAUACGAAUGCUAAUGGGCCUCGGACCUCGACCCUACUCAUCUCCCAAACCGGGUACAAAUCCUCCCCUAAUCAGGCUACGACCGCAUCUAUGCGGUCGUGAUCGUCAACUGAACAUCCACCACCUCGUAAGCGCAGCUCUUCUGGUGGCAGAGAAAGUCCUAGUUUCCGGCCUGCAUCGAGCCUCACGAAGCUCAUCACAACCAUCCACCUAGCUCCCUACCUGCCACAUUGAGGUCGACUUCGACGAGGUGUUCUAGUGGCACAAGUAUUGUACGAUGUGUCAUCGAGGGUGCUGUUCACUAUCAAUGAGGGGGAAUAACCUCCGGCGACGACUGGAGCUUCAAACCUGUUACCACUUGAAAUUUGUAGGUUAACAAAUUAAAAUACUAAAUUCUUGGUGAGCGUGGGAUAUGAACUGAAUGAAAUAAACUCAAAGAUUUAAGUGGUUCAUCUUUUAAAAAUGAAAUACAUCGACUAUGUUUCUCAAAUUAUAUUGAUUUCAAAACUAAAAAUAGGGCUAGACUAACACAUGAACUCUCUCGUAAAAGCAUACGCGGCUUUCAGUCUAAGCAGCAUCAAACAAGCUUUUACUAGUUCACCAAAAAAAAAAAGAGGAAAACUAACGAAAAGUUCAAAAAAACUUCCUUUUUAAUAAAAAGAAAUUUUUAAAGGUAUAGUGAAUAGUAUCAGGGAAAUGUAUAAAUGUGACUUUCGUUAAAAGUGAACAAUACCGAUAGUGUUUUGUUAAAACUUAAAAAAAAAAACCAAGCUUUUACUCUGUUUGGGCUGAGGCCCACUUAUUUUAUAUUAAAAAACACAAGCCCAUUUCUAUCUUCAUUUUUUGGUGGGAAGCCCAUCAACGAGCAAAACCCUAGAUAAACAACCGUAGAGCAAAACAGCUUUGCCGCCGCCGAGAGCGAGACACACACAGAGAGACAGAGGGAGAGGAAGAAAGAGAGCCGGAGAAGAUGCAGAUCUUCGUGAAAACCCUAACAGGGAAGACUAUCACCCUCGAGGUGGAGUCUAGCGACACCAUCGACAACGUCAAGGCCAAGAUCCAGGACAAGGAAGGUAACACCAUCCUCCCGUAAUCUAAUCUCUCACAUUUUUUCCGACGAUCAAGUUUCGUGCUCGAAUUCAAAGUAGUACGAUUCAACGGUGAUGAUUUCUCCCCGGUAAUUGUUUUGUUUUUGUUUAGGUAUUCCACCGGACCAGCAGAGGCUCAUUUUUGCCGGGAAGCAGCUCGAGGAUGGCCGUACUCUCGCCGACUACAACAUCCAGAAAGGUUAGCAUUGUCUUAUCCCUUGUUUGGUUGCUCAGAAAAUUUUAGGAUAUGUUUGCUUGUGAAGAAUUUAAUUUAAUUUUGAGGUGUUAAUUUUUGGAUAUAUACAGUGUAAAUUUGGAAAAUGAGUUUUCGAUAUAUGUUUCCGGUUGCUAUGUGAUUGUGUUUGGAUCAUUUUACCUCGAGAAGUUUAGUAUCCAAUUUGUAUUAGCAUUACUCGAAGCGAAAUGAGCUAACGGAAGACUUGACGCAAAGCGUUUUAGGAUUUUACAGCCGAUCCCACUUAGUGGGAUAAGGCUUGGUUGUUGUUGUUUUACUCGAAGCGAAAUAUUUUCCUGUUUCUAUGUGAUUAUGUUUGGAGAUAUUCCACCUUCAGAAGUUUAUUACCCAAUUUAUAGUAGCUUUAGUUGAAGGGCUCGGGGCCGGGUUUGCACCUGCUGAUGGCCUGGUUUAUUCAUGUUGCUGGUGAUUUGUUGCGUGUUUAUACUUGUGUAUAGGUGCUUUCUGUUUGUUUAUGUUUCUAUGUGAAAUAUUUUCCUGUUUCUAUGUGAGAUUAUGUUUGGAGAUAUUUCACCUUCAGAAGUUUAUUACCCAAUUUAUGGUAGCUUUAUUUGAAGGGCUCGAGGCCGGGUUUGGACCUGCUGAGUGCUGAGGGCCUGGUUUAUUCACGUUGCUGGCGAUUUGUUGUGUGUUUAUACUUGUGUAUACGUGCUUUCUGUUUGUUUAUGUUUCACUGAUUGAAAGUUUAUUUUGAUUAUUUUUCUCAGAAUCAACUCUGCAUUUGGUUCUAAGGCUUCGCGGUGGGAUUAUUGAGCCUUCUCUCAUGGCAUUAGCUAGGAAGUACAACCAGGAAAAGAUGAUCUGCCGCAAGUAAGUUCCAACUGAUUAAGCUUUUCUUUAUUUCUUUCGAGACAUAAUCGAUGUGUUCAUUUGGAUGAGGAUUUGUAUUCUAAAAAAAGAGAAUGCGGAUGAGUAUUUAAUUUAUGCUUAAGCCCAAGCCAUUCAAUCCGAAUAUGAUUGAGCGUCCAACAUUCGUUAGUUUGAGAGCUAUUUUACUUUUCUUUGAUUCUCAUUGUAUCUCACGUAUAUAAAUGCUCGUGAGCAGGUGUUAUGCACGCCUGCACCCCCGUGCCGUGAACUGCAGGAAGAAGAAGUGCGGACACAGCAACCAGGUAUUUCAUAUAGCCGAGUGAUGUCUGUUUGAUCCUACUACCAACCGUUACUUUUUAAGGUUUGGUUCUUUAUUCGUGUCAUCUUUUAUUAAUGCAGCUUAGGCCAAAGAAGAAGAUCAAGUAAACUGGGAAUCGAGACAGCGGAAUGUCGCAUCUUUUUGGAUCAUUUAGGUCUUGGACAUUUUAUUUUAAAGCUUUGUUAGCGUCAACCAGGGUACUGUUAUAAGGUUUAGCAUCAAUAUUUUUCAACUUGCUUUGGAAUUUUUCUCUGUGAUGUUGCGUAAUCUUGGCGUUGUUUAAACUUCUGUUUGGACCCAAUUUUGCACCAUCGACCCGAGCAAUUGAGGCCGUUGAGUGAGUAGUUCUAGACCAUUGAGUACGUGAGAUGUUAAGAUAAUUUUUAGUUAUUAUUGAGUUGAGUGAUAAUAUCAUGAUUUUUAAUCAUGAUAAUUAUCUCUUAAUAACUUACUAAAUUAUCUUGCCGCAUUCGUAUCCUAAAUAAAAGGAGGUUGCAAGCAGCAAUUCGCUUACCAGCACCAUUGGACUCUACAAUAUCAUCAAGCCUUGCCAAGCCGCAGGAAUAUGCAUACUUGAAAGAUAAUAUUUGUUUAUACCAUAUUUAGGUUAGAGAGAGAGAGAGAGAGAGAUGGGAGGUAAUUGCAACAACACCGUUGAAACCGAAGCUGGUCGCUGGGGACGUUGUCGAUGAGAUUGAUCUGAUCGUAGAGAGAGAAGGCGCGUCUCCGCUACGGCAGCGAUUGCGGGUUUGCAGGUUUCGGGUGGGCUUCCUUCUGGAGGCUCCGAAUGAGGUCCGGCAGUGCCUCCAUGGCUCUCACUCUCAUCCGCAUCUCUCCCUCUCUGAUAUUUCGCAUCAGCUUUUUAGCGAGCAGCAGCUUUUGAUUUCCCCAGGAGAAGGAGAGGAUGAGACGCUGUAUAAUGCAGAAGGAGAAAAGAGGGAGGUGCUGGAGGAGAAUAUGCCAUCCAACGGAGCAGCAACUUGAACGGAGCUAAAGCGAGUGCAGAUUCUGAUGAGGAGUGUUUUGAUGAUGCAGGGAUUCUGAGGACACUGGAUUACCUUGGAAUUUCUCCGUUUGUGUUUUUGUGAUUUUGCAGAUUCACGGUGGAGGUGAAAAAAUGAAAAAGAACCGACACAAUUUUUCGUAUCGAUUCCCACCGACGGCGCUAAAUGUUAAUGCACAAAACCAGAGGUCUUGAAACAACGUAAAUCCGACCGUGAAUCUGCAUGAAAUGUAAAUAACACAAGAUGUAUCGUGGUUCACCUCAAGGUUUGGGCUACGUCCACAUUUAUUUGAGGGAGUGAGAGCUCUGAGAGAGAGCUUUGAGAGAGGGUGAGAUGGCCUAGGAAUUGGCCUCCCCCAAUUGUGAGGGUGAGGGGUCCUUUUAUAGAAUAAAGACUCCUCACUUAUUAUAUAUUUGCCUAUUCUUUUAUUACAUAAUUACAUUUAAGUUCCCAAGUAUUUGUACGAUAUCUAAAUACGAGGCUUUAAAUAUGGUAUAAACAAUAUUCAUGUUAUCUUGGAAUUGGCUACUGAUGAAUUAUAAAUACAGAGUCGUAGGCCACAUUGAAAACCUCCUUCCAAAUCAACACACAAAUUGCCUUGCGCAAAGCUUCUUAACAACCCUGAGAUUUUUUCCUCUCUCCCUUUCUUCUCGUCAACACAUCAUCAGUUUGGAUAAACAACAUUGGGAAGGCAAUCGGCGACAUCUUCAGUUUGAUAGACAACACUGGAGUCGUAGAAUCAAUUGACUGAGAAGCACUUUCAGUUUGGAUAGACUACACAGCUUCGAGACCGAUUGGUUAUUUAUGUAAGUCUUGGUUAACAAGGAUUUUCGAGUCCUUGUUGGUAAAGUUCAUCUCAUCAGCAUUCUCGGUAAAGUGAGGUGUUACCAGGUUACUACAUUUGGCACAUUGAAAGUCGAAUUUGAAAUUGAACUUCGCUGAACUAGCAGCCUUGUCUUCAGGCUCUAGAACCCGAAGGUCGAUACGUGUUCCUUUCUCAGCCGCAGUCGCAAGAUCAAAAAGUCAGCAGCGCGCCCAAUGCCAAAUCAACAUAUUUUACUCCCCGGCCGAAAUCGGCCGACUAGUUGAUACGCCCCGCGGACAACCGAAUGACAUAAUUAACUUAUUAAUUACUCGUCCUACGCGUCAUGUAAGCUUGAUAGUUUUUACCAUCAACUUCUUACUAUGAGAAAUGGCAUUCAAAAGCAAUCGCUUUCCUUCCAUUUCUUCAUUACCACAUUCUGAAACGGAUAAACCAAAUUUACAAGUUGUGCGAUGAUUUGAUAGGUUCAUCUCUUCUGUUCAUCUGUUCAAGGAUAAGAUCAGAAUUCGCAUCAACUUGUCUGGAAAAUGUUUUGGAUCAUCUUCCGUCUUGUUCAAUCUGCAGUUGCCCAAUGUAACUGUCCUUUUCCAAUUUGUUCGAUCUGCGUCCGAUCGAUCGAGGCACUGAAAACACAAUAGGGGAAGGCCAAAAUUAAAAAAAUGAGCCUGAAUUGACAGCUGUGGGAUUUGAACCCACGCCCUUUCGGACCAGAGCCUAAAUCUGGCGCCUUAGACCACUCGGCCAAACUGUCAUGUUUCGUCGUUCUUAACAAAAACAAAUUCAUAUUAUACUAAGAGCAGUUCCAUCAGUUAAGAAGAACAAAGGGCAAGGUAGUUAAGUUGGCCUUAUUAUUCACUAUAAAUAGUACUUGCCUAUGUGCGCUUCAAUCCGUUGGGCAAGGGAAAUGGCAAGUCAAUUACUAUUCACCAAUGUAAUUUUUUUUCUUCUUUAGGUUGUUUUGUUGGCUUUAUCCUUCACGUGUUAUAUUCGUUUUAAAUUUCCGAUAGUUCACUUCAUAACUUUCUACGCGUUCACUUGCAUGUAAUUCGUAAUGGAAUAACCCAAUUUCAGGAAUUUGAUUAACUAGGGGAGGUGUUAAUCCAAUUCCCUUUCCUUACUUUUUUCCAUUCCGAAGUUAUUCCUUAUUUUCCUCUUACCGAGAAGUAAACGAAGCAUGGUGACAGCGGAUAAGUAACUGAUUAGUUUUGGUGCAACAUGAAUCAUACAAACUAUGAAUUAGAGUCCCACUGAUCUGUUGCUUUUUUCAUGCAAUCUCUCGUGACCCUGCAACGCACACAAACACACAUACACUCAUGCAUGGAGGGCACAAAGACGUCCAUCCAUCGCUUAAAUUUUGCUUCUUCCCAGUUAUGUUCUCCAAACAACUGCCUGUUGUAAUAUUCUUUGCUCUCAAGGAACGCGAGAGCAAAGAAUACUAGUCUCUGCAGAACAAUUAGCGGACCGGAUUAUGCAAUAGCUCGACAGAUGUAAGCUCAAGAACGAUGUUAACUGGCUUACGCUUAUCAAGCUGCUGAAUAAUCCGGUUCGCUUACUGUUCUACAUCUAACUCAGCAGAAGAUGUAAGUUAAGGCGUCCACACCUCACUUAUGCUUUAGUUUAGAAGGAUCAAUACAUUGAUUAUAGUAAAAAUCUUCACUCUAAAUAUUACACCAAACUUUUAUAUGCAGGGUGUUGGGGGAAGGGGGGGUGUUGAAAAUUUCAAGCCCAGAAAUUUAACCAGUGUAAAUUACAACGUGAUGGAUCAAACAAAAUGCUGCCUGAAUCCAGCCUAUGCAAUUCUUGAGGUGUCGCAGAGGCAUCCAAUUGACCUAUCUUCAGAAGCUCAUCAUGUCUUUCAUCUCCAUACUCCCCACCAACAUCAUUGCUUGUAUGUGAAUCUAUGACUCCUCUCCGCUCCAAUUCCUCUUCUAGUCUUACUUGAGCAGUCGUCUCACAAUUCCCAUCUUUGUAACUCGAUCCAUCCGCCGUCUGAUUCAUGAGAGAAUCUUCGGUAGGGGCGCCAUCUCGAGAUGUUCCCACAAGAUCAUUCAACUUCUGCAACUGCUCAAAAUAACCAAAAAAAAAGAUGUUUAAUGUUGACGACCAAGCUAGAAAUUUAGAAUGCAAUUUCAUGAACAACGUUUGGCUCCUUACAUAUAAAUGCAAAUCACAAUCUGAUAGAACAACUUAUGCACGCAUGUCAAACCGUGAUUUUAUGUAUAAACAUGAUCGUUCUCACAUGAGAGGAGCCAAGUGUUUUUUCCUGAUUUUCAAAUUAUGAGAAACUGAAUAAGUUUAUUUACUUUACCUGCAUAAGCAAGGACUGCUUCUCCUCCUUCAAAGAUUCAAACCGACAUGCUAACUUGUCAUAAUCUUCUCUGAGACUUCUCAAGUCCCGCUCCAUCUGUUUCGACUUCCAUCUAGCUCUUCUGUUCUGAAACCAUAUGGCAACCUGGCGAGGCUGCAGCCCAAGCUCUCUUGCCAAUUGCACCUUCCUCCUCGGCUCGAGCUUCGAGUCUGCUUCGAAUAUAGACUCCAACAAACUGAUUUGUUCGUCGCUAAAUCGCCUCGUGUUUGUGCCCUUGUUCUUCUUCCUUUUCGUCGCGAACUGCGGCUCUGGGCCGCUCACAUAAUCCAAGUUUUCUUCUUCAUAGCACUCCUCUUUCCUCCUUUCCAUGACUCUGAUUCUCGGUUUUCAGUCCGAUCUUGGACUUGAUUGAUAUCGACUUGAAAUGUUCUCGACAAUUGUUGAAAUAUUAAGUAACGUUAAAUUUAUAAGUGGAUGUGGCUUAGGAAUCUUGGUAACGAUGUGAGCUUCUAGCAUAUAUAGUAAGGGUUGAAGAGUCUAUCUUCUCACUCACGCGGUUGCUUUCUUAUAAUUGGAAGUUGUUGAUUGAUAGGUUAUCGUAGGCUAAACCAAUGGUGUUAGCUAGCGUAAGCCACCCUUCAUUUCAUAAUUUCUUGCCUUGUGGACCUCUCCAAUUCGAGAAAUUUUUCAGUAUGCCGAAAAUACAGUUUGAUACACCAAGUAUCGUAAUACAAAUUGUUAGAUUUUUUUUAAGUAUCCAAUCACUUGGUGUAUCAGACUGUGUUCUUGGAAAAUUGAAAAUUUUAUCCUGUUCACUGUUAUCUUUCUUUCUUUCCCAUCUCUAGAAAUACCAGUGUAUGUAUGUUUCUUGCAUGCACAAAGCACACAAUUUUGGCUUGUUUUGUGCUUUUUUUGGGUGGAAAUAAUGAGAAAAAGUAGAUGCAUUACACAAUCUACAGGAUUUGAAAAGAAGAAACUUGAACUUGGGUUGCUUGUUUAGGUGUCGAUUUGUAGUCCGUAGAUGAUGUCCCAAUUGCCAUUCACGUACCAUAUAUACUUUUUGCUUUUUGACAAUGAGCACCCAAUAAUACAAGGACAAGGAUUGUCUGCCAUCCUACUUUCAAUGCCCUUCAGUGUCCUUCUGUUUUGUGUGAUCACGAUUAAGCCACGUCAACAUUUUAUAUUGUUUUUUUAUGAAGAUAAUAAGAUAAAAAUGAAUAGUAAUAUAAAAUGUUGAGUUGGCUUAACCGUGACCACACAAAUAGAAGGGUACCGGAAGGCACCGGAAGUGGGAGGGCCGACCAUCAUUGUCUAUAACACAAACACUAGUGUUCUAUUAAUUUUUCAAUUCAAUUAUGAUAAAAUCUUGUCCGUCACCUGUGAUACUAUUUACAACCGAUGAAACUGCAUAAUCUCUCGACUGCCAUAUUAUUUAAUUUGUCUAAAUCAUAGGCAUAAAAAAGUUGGCACUCGCAAAAUCGUACAUCAAAAGAUUAAUAUAUAGAAGAUUUGUAAUUUAACGGUGCAUAUUUCAUCUAUCAUUAUUUUUUUAUAUACUUUUUGACAAUAGGAAACACCAACAAUUCAAAUACUCAUGCCUUUUUCUUGACUCUUGAGUGCAACAUAUAUUUACAACGUGGUAAACACUUACAUCAAAAGAUUAAUAUAUAGAAGAUUUGUAAUUUAACGGUGCAUAUUUCAUUUGUCAUUAUUUUUUUAUAUACUUUUUGACAAUAGGAAACACCAACAAUUCAAAUACUCAUGCCUUUUUCUUGACUCUUGAGUGCAACAUAUAUUUACAACUUGGUAAAAUCUUAUCGUCAAAUAUGUACAACUAAUGACAUGGCAAAACCUCUAGACCAUAAAAUUUAUUAACUCGCAUAUUAUUCAUAUUAAAAAACUAAAAGUAAUGUGACUAAGUAUGACUUGCAUGAUGAAACAUACUAUACAAAUAUUUCACUUUCAAAAAUAUCUAACAUGUCUAUAGAAAAUUGAUGGUCGCACAUAUGGCAAGUUUUGGUUAAUAUUCAAUUGUGUCAUGAGUUGUAUAUGGUCGUGUAAGAUAGGAUGAUGGCAACUUUAGAUGAAGAUAAAAUUGCGUCGCCUAAUGCCGACAAACGAAAGGAUCGGUUUCAAUACACUUGUCAAGUUAAAUCAAAAGGAGAAAGCAAAGGCCAAUGCUUUUUCAAUAAAAGCCAAUCAUAUCGGUGGGGCUUUCUGCACUGAUGUCUCUCACUCCUCCAUUUUGUUUGGUUUCUAGUGCUUAGUUUCAUCCUACUCAAUCGAUGCGUCCAUUUUCUAUAUGGCUAGGUCCAGUGUCUUUCAGGGUUCCAUGGUUGGUGUGGUGUCCUCUCCAGACUCCCAUGAGACGUGCUCACUCCUCUCAAAUUCAUGCAUGCCUUUUGGGAUUAGGUCACACUUGCACGCCACGGGAGCACUUUAUCGUUUACAAUGUGGCAAGAAAUAAAAGGGUCAUGUUAGAAUGGUUAAAAGCAUUUUCGGAAUGAUUUGGGAAGUGUACUGGCAAAGUUUUUAUUGACAUAAUGUUCAACAAUACUUUUACGCCAUGUUUGAGACUACUUUUUAAAGGAUUAAAAGUUUUAUUUGAUAAUUGAAAUUUCUUUUACUUAGCUUGGCGGAAAACAUUUAAAAUGCUUUUGAAAUAUAGAAGCAUAUCUGUAGAAUCACCUAUUAGAUCCUAUUUCAUAAAGCAUUUGAAUUUAAUAAAAUUUCAACGUGUUUCUAAUUAAAACACUUCUAGCAAAGCAUUUUAAAUAAAAGCAAUCCCAUAUCAGCUUUUAGAAGGGUCUCAUUAAAUAAAAAGCGUUGUGAUUCAAGAAAGUUACACAUAAAAGCAAUUACAAGCAAGUGUUUUCUAGUAACUUCAUAAGCGGCCUAAAGUGGACUUCCGUUUUCAUUAGGUUUCCAGUUUGGAAUCAAAGUAAAAAUGGAUUAGCUCGAUCAUGAUAGAACUUAUGUAUUGAUUCUUAAGCAAAAUUCUGGUUUAAGAACCAAUUAAUGAACUAAUUAAAAACUCAACAGAAAACAAAACUGUCCUCCAUCUUGGCCUAACUGGUGGCCUCAUUUAUGUCGUCUGAGUAUUGAGCAAGCUGGGACAAAAAAAUUGUUAUCCAAGUCCAGGAUACUUGGCUGCAUUUCGUGCCAGGACUGGUGAACUCAGGAUAAGCAUAACAUGGAUUAGCAUUUAUUGUCGUCCGGGUAAGUCUGGUGUAGAUGUGAUGUGGCUAACCUGAACAAAUUCACGCUGUUUUUACUUGUCAAAUAUCGUUAAUUCGUCUUUGGUAUUUAGGUGCUUUGUGAGGACACGUUUCGGGGAGCGAUUCGAGCCAAAUGUCAGUCUCUGCCGUCGACAACAAGCGGGCAAAACUUUGGGGGCCAAAAAAUCUUUAAGUGAUGACUUGCGUGGCUCUCGAACCAUUAAGAAGAAGGGAUUGGAUUGCUGUCGUUGUUGCAUGAUUUCAACAUCAAUAGUUCACCUUUCCUUAAUUAAAUGUAGAUUGUGUAAGAAUGUGAAGGUAAAAGACCAUCACAUUGGUGAAAGGAGAAACUUUGCAUUGAUUUAUAAGAGGUUGGGUUACUCCUCAUAUUGCCAAUUAAUUGUAUAGUGGAGUCUCAACUCUUUUCCGAUUGACGAUUAACUAAUUUGAUCCAUUACCUUGUCCCUCAAGUUAAAAAUAGCCUUAGGGUUUGUAAACCAUUUGUUUCUAUUUCACCAAAUGAAAGAAGAAAUAAAAACAAUUACUUCAAUUACCUUUAGAUGCAACAAGAAACAUGGAGGCACACGUGUCUUGAUCAAACGGUAGGCGAAGUUCCUAUUGAUCACCAUAAGAAAAUAAACUUAUUAGACAUCUUUGUUAAUAUUUCUCUAACCCAAAUAUUAUAAGCAUGUUAUCUCAAAUAAAAGUAAAUAUACAAAGCAUUAGCAUCUAUAAACCGGAUGGAUUUUCAGAACUUGAAGACGAUGACAAUUUUCUAGUACUUCCAGCAAUCCAUCAUACUGGAGGAUCCCCCAUGAGCAACCUAUUUCCAAACAGGUUAGGCAUUUCGACACUGGCAUAACAGCUGCAACUCCAACAUAUGGAUUCUGCACAGGCUAUUUGUUCGAAUAAUUAAUAUUUUUUAGGAAUAAUUUGCUUAAGGUCACAUAAUAUUUUCAAUAAUUAAGAUUGGGUCAUCUGACGCCACUCAGUACUAUGGUCUGGUGGUAUUCCUCUUUACUUGUAAGUGAAAAGUCUUAGAUUCGAAUCUUGUAGAUGACGAAUUCGAUACCAAUUUAGGUUGUCUAUUGUGGGAUUUAACCGAACUCCCAUCCCCGUAGUGUAAAUUAUAUCGUUGUACUAAAAAAAUAUAUAUAUAUAUAUAUAUAAAUAAUUAGGUCAUGUCUGACACUUUAGCGACAAAGAUAUAGGAUACUAGAACAAAAACAAAAAUGUAAUGACAUAGAAUUACCCCGGGAAAAUAUAAGAUUUUGAAGACAAGAGGAGAGUUUUGUUGUACUUUCUUCAGUUCGUUAGGAAAGAAACCCAGAUUUUCAAAAAUCGUAUUGAACUUGGUUAGGACGUUCUUGAACACAGGAAUCGAAUCUAAGAGUUUUCUUCACCAUAAAAUUUAGUAUAACAACAUAGGGUAAUUUCAACUUUACUGUCCUCAUGUUUCGUAAAACAAAUAACUUCGACCACCUUGAGAUGCGACAAGAUAUAUCUAUCUUAACAACAUGCUCAACAUUCCCGAUUGAUAGAUAGAUAAAAUUCCUGAUUGAUAGAUCAACAUUCCCGAUUGAUAGAUCAGAUAUUUUUAGGUUCCCGUAACAACAUGCGAUAAGAGAUCGUCAUGGAAAGAGAUUCAAAUAUUUUAGUCGAUAUUUUGAAUCAUAAAGCUCAAGUUCCAUGGCGUGUUCGAUCAGUCGUCGGUUCUACAAGACAUUUUAAACCAUAGAGAGAAACGAACAUGAUUGCAAACGGUUUUGCUAUAUUACGACCUUAUUACUACCAUUCAUGUGUAUGGUUCACUAAUUUUCCUAACAUUGUUAUUUCCAUAAUACAAUUUGCUACAUAUGGUUAAAGAUUUGUAGAUGAUCUUGAUUGUAAUUUGUCUGUUUCUAAAGGAAAACAUAGCUAUUGCUUAACUUGAGAAUAACCAAUAUUAUAAGCAUAUGUGUGUGUGUGUGUGUGUGUGUAUGUAUACCCCAUGAAUUUUCAGAACUUGAAGACGAGGAGUGCUUUGCAGUGCUUUCAGCACUUCGUUACAAUUUCGUCUUACCCACGGGCCACAUGUAUCCCACUUCCAAACAGGUCCACUGCUCGAACAUUGGCAUAUCAUCAACAUUUCGAUCUAUUGGUUUAUUAAUCAAGAAUAAAAUCAAUGAAGACAUAUUAAUUAGCAACAGUAUAAGGACUAAAUAAUAGUAGUAGAACGAAAAAUGCAAUUAUAUUGCAUGUAAUUACCGAGCUCAAUUGAAGAUAUUUAAGACAAGGAGAGUUUUGUAGUAUUUUCCGCACUUCAUUAGAAUUGAUAAAACUUUGAAAGCACAUAUGGUUUAGGAAUUGGAACAUGGGAAUCGCAUCCAAAAGGUUUUCCUCAAUAUCUCCUGGAACCUAAAAAUGUAAAUUUGACAUAAAACAUCAGUGAUACAAUAUUUAUAUUGAGAAACAGAAUAUUUCAAACAUGCAUCUUCGCUUGACAACAUAUGAAGCAACGAAUUUCAAAAGAAGCUACUGUAGUAGAUUGCAUACCUUAAGAUCGAGUUUUUUUUACAUUAGAGAGACAUCCAAGAAGCAUAUAAAUUCGAUAGGUAGCAACUUUAUCACCUAUUACAUAACACUCAAUGCAUGCCUCCUCAAGUGAGGAUUGAUUGUACAAGUAAUGCUCAUUUUUGAAUCUACCAGAGCAUGUAUAAUGUUUGAGAUUAGUUCCAUGAACCAUGACCCGACAACCAUGAUCGAAGUUUCCAAAAGGGGUGUGCUAUCCACACACCUCUUUUUAUUUCUCACACACCCCUUGUUAAUUUCUGUCUUUUGAUCUUCUUCAAUUCCUCUUAUCCGACGGCCGAAAAUAAGAAGGGUGUAUAAAAAGUAAAAAGAGAUGUGUGGAUAUCACACCCCUUUCCAAAAUAAUCUUAAUGUACGGUCAAUCUCAAAAAGUUUUGGUGCACGAAUAUUGACAAUCCUGACGUUCGGCAAGAACAGGAAUUUUGAUAAGCAUAAAUCUUCAAGGACUGGACAGCUAGAAAAUAAUUGAUUGGUCGAUUGUUCAUCCGAGAAUUUAACAAGCUUGAGCACCAAGGUUUUGAGGCUGGAAAAACAUGUUGUAGGGGGACGUUAGAAGACACUAGGCAUGCAUAGAUCUAAAUGCACAAGUGAUUCGCAAGAAAACAAGCAGCAAAGCAACGCAAGUAAUUCUGCAUCCAGUAUUUUGUUUCCGUAAAUGUUUUCAUCAAUGUAGAUAGAUAAAUCCUGCACAUUCCGCAUCUACACCUUUGAUCCAACGCAUAAUGACAGAGGUCAUAGCUUCUUAAUCGUAGUGUUGAUAUAUAAUUAUAACAUGGAAGCUUUUUACGAAAUGUUGAAGAAAAAUUGCCCUAUCCACAUAAUCUGAAAACUGUUCUAUCUUCCGAUCCCGGUUGAAGGGGAAUUUACGCAAGUCAAUGAUGGGAUUGACGUAUCUCCACCUUUUUGAUAAUAUGCUCGUUCUAACUGCUUCUUUAGGGUUGAAGUAGGAUAUCAUGAGUUGAAGAAUGUCGUCAGGUAAAUCACUCAAGCUUCUGUUGCUGCUGCUAAGCUUUCCUGUUUCCAGAUAUUAUUCAUCUUCGGUUAUUCAACAAUAUUAGCUCACCUAAUUUUUUCAUAAAAAAAAAAAAAAGGAACAAAAUUGAGUCACUUACGCUAUAGAAAUUAACCCAGAAAGAGCUUACGGUUUAGAAAUUUCAAGUCGAAGACGCAGCUGAAGAAUUCCAAAUUAUUAAUUUAGAAAUAGUGAACAAGCAGCCAGCAGGACACCCCACUGGCACUCUCCCGUCGCUCCAAUGACUCCAGUCUCUCCGGUCUCCAGGAAACAGAUAUGAGAGCAGAGAGGGAGGUGGUUCUACAAUUAUAUAUGCGCCUUUUUCAUGGGCUUUCCAUAUGGGCCUUUUAAAUCUGGCAUUUUUCUUAGAUUUCUCGGUCCUGUUUUGUUCAUUUUUCAAUUAAUAUUACGAUUUAAUGAGAUUCUCUUAUUGGUAAAUCUACAUUUCUAUAUAAGUCAAAAUUUUUAUUUAAUUCGACUUCCAUGAAUGACGAGUUGGAUAUAAGACUCAAUAAUCAAUUGUAGAAUCCGUUUGAAAAUUAUUUUUAAGUUGCUUUUUCGUUCAUAAGUGUCUCUAAUAAAAACGCUUCUCUUAGAAGGAGAAGCAAACACAUUUUACCUUUAAUCAAGACGCAAAUUAGAGUUUGGCAUCCACUUUUUCACACCCUUUGGACAAGUUGAAGAAUCUUCAACUUCUAAAAAAACCAUUUAAUUUGUUCGAUCACCAAUUAUACCAUAAUCACAAGAAAACUGAGUAAAAACUUUUGAGCUUCAAGCAUUUCAUAUGCACAGUUAUGGAUAUGACGAAAUCCAUCCCAUAAUCUCCAUAAAAAUUAACUUCGACCACCCUUAAUUGUGACAAGAAACAUGGAGAUACACGGGCCUUAUCAUCGUUUAUACUAAAAUUCCUUGAUGGUGAAUUCCAUAUUUUCUAUAUAUUGGAGUUGUGGUAGAUGAUAAACACAUAUGUUAAGACGUUUGAGGUUUUCUUGAUUGUUAAUUAUGUUUGUACCAUACUUGACCAAUUCCGAAACUAUCAAGCACCGGUCAACGUCAUACCUUCAAGGACCCACUGAGGGGUUCAUACUAAGGCACCCCUGCCAAAGCACAAGAGUUUCCCUCCAACCAGGAAGCCAAUCACAGCACGACAAAUGUCAACGUCAAAAUAAAGCUCAUAGAGUCCCACUUCGACCGCAGACAAAAGUUGGAGACUCUCCUCAGCUAUAAAAGAAGACCAUUCUCCUACAAUUAAUCUCUAAUGUCAUUAUUGUACUUAAACCAGUCAUUAGAACUCAUUAAUGAUGAUUAUUCUUAAACUUAUGUAUUUGUGUAAACCCUCCACUAUUAAUGAGAACUCAUCUACCCCGUGGAUGUAACCAAACUGAGGGUGAACCACGUACAUCUUGUAUUUGCUUCUCUAUCUCUAUCUCUUUACAUAUUUAUCCUCACUAGUGACUCGGAGAAACCAAGCGAAUGUCACAAACUUGACACUUUACAUUGUUCCAAAGUCUUCAUUGAUUUUGUGUAUCAACAAUUUCCAUAUUACUAUUGGAGUUGGCUUCAAGUAUUUUGUUUAGUUUUCCUGUGUAAUUUAUCACUCUAGGUAAAAAAUAUAAUAACUAAAGAAUUUAAAGAUGAUAUAGUCAUAAUAAGAUGAGGAUUUAAUUUUAAUGGUUGACUCAAUUUUUUUUAAUACAAAUAAUAUUUUUAUAUUAAAAAGAAAAAAUUUAGAAUAAACUGUGAUAGUUUAGUUCAAAUUCGCUUGAUAAAGAAUAACAUUUAAUAUCUCUUAUGAAAUAAACAGAGUGUGCCCACCCAAUUCAUAUAUCUAUUACAGUAUUCGUUACAUGGGAGUGUGUGCCUAGCUAUGAACACAUGGUGUUACCCCAGUUACCCGGAUCAGGAUCCUCUCCUGAGCAAGGAGUGAGAAUCUUCCUGACCAAGUCCAUCAGGCUGUUGAAAUUUUAUCCAACGAUUAUAAUUAUUAUAACUUUUAAAGAGCUCUCCUGUUUAUAACCGUUGGAUAAAAUUUUAACGAUCCGAUGAGCUUGAUCAGAAGGAUUCUCACCUUUUGCUUAGGAGAGUAUCCUGAUCCCAAUUGCCCAACCUUACAGCUGGUUCCAGAAACCAACACAGUUGACAAUUAUCGGGCCCACGCACCUACUCUCUCGAUGUGCAGCCCUUCUUUUCUUUUCCUUUUCUUUCUCGUAAAGUAAACCAAAUGAUUAUACUUGUUAAUAAUCAUGUAUUUAUUAUGAUUUCAUUUCAUUUCAUUCAAGAAGUAAAAGUACUCUCUCCCCUUUUGUUUCAUUUGGAAAAACGCGAUCCGAAUGAGAGAACACCGGCCGUAUAAUAGAUGAUGAUGAUCAGUCGAAGUUUAUAUAUUACAAAGGAAGCUUAUCGUUUUGAGGGGAAUGUUGUCUGGUACGAGGCUAAUAAGUCAGCAAUUCCUCGGACCAGGCUUCAUUCCCCUCAACUAAUGCUUCCAUCUAAUUUGCCAAGCAUCUCUCUUCGUAAAAUAUUAGUUCGCCAAUAUCGUCAAGAUGUCGAUCCCCUGCAGAGAGAUGAUCGAUGGAUCUUCAGGUAGGUUAAUUUUAACUAAUCCCAAGAUUUUUUUUGGUUAUUUUAUGUUGAUCAUCUAACAGAUUGAUUUAAUGAUGAUGCGGGCUUAGUUUGAUCGUACUUCACUACUACAGGUAUGAAAGAAGAGAAAAAAAUCUAUCAUUUGCGUUUGACUCAUGAUUCAAGUUUUUCAACAUUAAUACUGUGUGUGUGAAUUUCUGUCAGCCUUCCUUUUUGUUCAUCAUUGGAUAGAUCUUUUCUCAUGAUGGGCACAACCCUAAUUAGGGUUUCCAAUCCGUGUGCUUUUCUUUGGCCUUAGCUAGGGUUAAACCUCCCUAGGUUUUUUCUUUUCUUUUUUAAGACCAAUCAAAAUUAGGGUUUUCAUCUAUUGGAUAAUCUGGAUCCGUUACCUAAUUACAAAAUUAAUAACGGUUAUAUCUGGAUAAUUGCUUUCGUUGUAUAUAGUGUAGUGGGCGGCGGGUGGAGUUGCAGAGCUGUUUGUAUUCACGGUAUCAGUAUAUGAUAAUAUUGAUCUCCACCCUUCUCAGCAGCUUUACUAAUUAAUAUUCUACUGAUCUCACUAUAUUAUUUAUUCCAUUGAAUAAUGUAUUGAUAUAUACUUUUAGUGACUUAGGGAUUCGAAAUUCGAAUCCUCUGCGUAGAUAUGGAAUUUCCGUGAAGAUAUAUCGGCACCGAUCAGAGUGCGGACAUAUAUUCUGUAGUAUUGAUUCCUCUUUAUUGUGAUCAGUUUGCUUUUGUAAAAGAGGUAUUUCUUUCAUCUUUUGAACAUAUAUUUCUUUACAAUGCAUGUCAUCUAUCUUCCUGAUAUAGUUGUGUGUGUGCGCGCGCGCGUGCGUGUAUCUGUGUAUGGAAAUCUGGGAGAGGUUGUGUUAGAUCAACUAAAAAUAAUUUCAGUUAGAAAGAAGGCUAGAGAAAACACAUUUCUUUACCAGAAAAUACAGCUUCGUUAGGUUAUUUUUAUUUCAGUUUCUUCAACUUAUUUACAGCAUGAUCUCCUCAUUGCACAAUUAUAUUGGUGAUCGCCAAUCAACCAUUUAUAGACUUCCACAGUUCAAAUUGUAGCUAGUUUUUUCCUUAUGAUCCUCAUUGCACAAUUAUAUUGGUGAUCGCCAAUCAACCAUUUAUGGACUUCCACAGUUCAAAUUGUAGCUAGUUUUUUCCUUAUGAUCUGUUUGACUGAUAUUCCAAUAUCCCAUCCUGUUUAAUUCGAACCUUCGUUGUUAGGUUGGCAAGACUAUACAUUGUAUACUAAUCACAACAAAAAGCUAACAAUAUAUGGCCAUUGAUCUUAGUUAUAAGCUUGGCAAAAGGCUUAUAUCAAUGAAUGAUCGGGGUGGUAAAAGGUCUAUCAGUGGCCAUUGAUAGACCUUUUCACCAUCUCAUUUUAUGAAACUAAUGUCAGUUGCUAUGGUAUAGUUUCUUGUAGUGACGGUUGGUUAUUGUAACAACUAGCAAGCAGCCACUAAAAUCUAAUCCAUUCACUUCCAUUUUUCAGAAUAUACCAAGUCGGUUUACGUGUUUAUUUUUCUAGGAUGUGACUAUUUAAAACAAAGUGAUGUUAUUUGGACACGCAUGAAACUGAUACACUUCUUAGAGCAAGUAGUACACAUAAUAAUAAAGUUCACCUCUAUUGGAGACUAGAGAGAGUGUUGCCAAAAUCCCAAAUGUAUCAAUUAUGUGUGUUUCAAUAGUUUUAUGUUUUGUUUGACAAAAAAUAUAUGGUUUUAUUGUUUCCAAUAACGUGUGCAUGAGCAUGCAUUGAGCACAAACACUCGCCUCUUCUCUUCUAAUAAACUACCUCUUCCCUUCUAAUAAACUAUUUCAUGCACAUUUCUCAGUUACUCAUAUAUAAAAAGGUUGGUAAGCUCGUUAGCUAGUAGUACUGUCUAAGGUCUGGGCCAGGCCACAAACCGCGCACCUAGUAAAUAUAUAUUUGACAAUUGUGAGUAGUGGGGUGCAGCCUUGCAGGUGUGUGCAAUGUGCGAGACAAAGUUAAAAAGAAAAAGACUUUAUAUCUUAUGGGUGGAAAGGAAAGUACUGAUGAUCACUGGAAGUGUAGGUUUUAUAUAUUGCCGCCUGCAGUCAAGUCGAUGAGGCAUCAUGCCUUAAUGCACUUUUUAUUUAGUUUUCGGGAUCGCCAAAAGCAACUUUUUCUGGUUUUAGUUGUACAAAGAUAUAUAAAUCUCAAUAGCGAUUCUUUAAGAAUGCCUGCACUAGCUGUGGGUUGUAUGCACCAACCGACCAAAUUUUGCAGUGCAGUAGUUGCUCUCUUUUUAUUGGGAGCUGGGAUUAGUUAUUGCAUUGAUCAAGCAUGUACUGCAUGUGAAACACAAAAUGUGUACAUACUGAGAAUGUAUAUGUAACGUCUGCAUGAUUAUAGUAAAAUGUACAUAAGAAUCUAAUUCACUUCCUGAACCACCAGCGGUUGACUCUAGGCAUUUAGUCCUUACUCUUUCUGACAACAGCGCUUACGUCUAUGACACCACCACUGGUACCGGCUAGUAAAGUAGCUUUUCCCAACAUGCUAUAGUGCCUCCCAAUGGGUAGGAGCAGAUCGAGUUCGUAUUGCUGCAGAGCAACUGACUUUCUUUCCUCCCUGAUUGGUUUUCUUGCCUGAAAUGACUUUCCGAAGGAAAAAAGGACUUAGCGCUUGAAACUCCUAGCUCAACUAGCGCUUUGCGCGGGUAGAAGGACUAAUUCAGUCUAUUGGGGCCUAGAGGAGCUAUAGACUCUAGUUAGUCAGUUUCCUGGUGACUCCUUUGUCUUGGAGGAAUGGAAGAUAAUGACAUAGAAACAACAUCGUAUUCUUGUAUAGGAAAUUGCUCAUAUACAUAAUAGGGUGAGUAGUGGGUGGCACUUGCAGGUGCGCAAUGUGCGAAACAAAUCAAUUAAAAAGAAAAACUUCGUAUUGCCAUAUUGUCACAAGUUACAGAAAGCGAUUGCUGGAAAUGUAGGUUUUAUAUAUAUUGCCACACCUACGGACUGCAGUCAAGUGAGUCGAUGAAGCAUCAUGCCUUAAUGCACUUUUUAUUUCCAUUAUUCGGCCAAAUGUAAUAGAUGAACAUAACUCAAUUAAUAUAUUGCACUAAUUUUGGAUCGCCAAAAGAAAAAUUUUGGGUUUUAUUUCUGCAGUGCACUGGUUGCUUUACUCUCGGGACUUGCUACAUUACAAGUACUUAGUAAUAUCACCAUAUAUACUCCUUAAAUAUCAUUACAGCAAAUUUAACCGUUAAAUUGUGAUCAGAAAAGAAAAAAAAAACUUUCAGUUGUGAUUAUACUAAAUACUUGUAAGUAUUGUAACAAAAUUCACAAUUUACUUGAAAAUAUAUACAAUAAUAAUUAAGGACGUGACCAUUUAACUGAUCAGGAGUUUCCAAUUAUUGGUGUAUGGUUGCGAUGAUUUUAAGUAUAGACUUCUAGUCCUACAAAUGUACAAAAUUAGCUGCUAGCUGUACACUUAUUUACUUGCAAGUAUCAUUUAUCUUUUUGUGCAUAUAAAUCUUAUUAGGCAUGAAAUUACCCAAUGGUGGAGUGGUAUAUGCUUAAGACAAUCCAUCUCAGUUGUCAUGCAGAUCAUACUCAACUGUGUUAAUCCAAUUACAAUCGGCAAAAAAAAGAUAAAAAUCCUAGAAUAUCUGGUUUGGAGCUGUAUCUUCUUAAUUAACAAUAUUUAAAUUCUUAAAAAUAGAAUUUAAUCUCAAAACAUUUUAAAAAUAAAUAAUAAAAACAAUGUCCAUAAUAAAUUCCAAAAAAAUAAAAAAUAAAGAUGUACAGCUCAUAUCUAAGUCUUAUUAUGCAAACACAAAAUAAUAAUUAAAGAUGCAAAUUAAAUUCCAAAACUCCUAAAUUCUAACCGUAAAAGGCCGAAAUGGAAGGAGACAUCUCAUUGCACCACAUUUCUCCUCCUCCCUUGAUUCUCCCUCCUCUCUCUAACUAAAGUUUCUAGACCCCAAAUCAUCGAUCGCUCUUCCUUCGUUGCAGGCUGUCAAGCCUGUUUCCCGCCGGUAGGGAAAUCGGGGAGAGAAAUAAGUCUCAACCCUUCUCUCCCCAAAUACUCCUCCGACGUAACCCGCACCCACCCCCUAAUGCCCUCUUCCUCAGUUUUUCCAUAUUACACCUUUACUUCCUCCAAUAUUGUUCCCAAGUACUCUAUCCUAUAUCUGUUCACUAUUCCCAUUCCAUGCAUAAUCUCCAGUCCCACCACCUUCCGCCGCGUCUCUCACCGCCACGGCCAGCAGCCUUAUUACCGCCCUUACUUUUGUACAACCAUAUUAAUCACAUCUCCCCUUGUUUUACCGUAGCCGUGGUUAGGUAGCAAUAUAUCGAUAUCGAUACUAAAAAAAAGUAGAUAUAUUCAUAACCAUCGGUAUAUUCGAUAUCGAUAUAUACAAAAAGGAGGACAAACAAAAGGAGGGUUUGUCAUAGCUAUAUAGCAAAUCGAUAUAUCCAUCCUUCAUCGAGAUCAUCAGAGCGAUCGAGAGAGAUAGAAUAUUAUUCAUUGAUUAAUUAAUUAAUUAAUUUGUUUUACAAAUUAAUUAAUUAGUUAAUCAAUCCAAUUGAUAUUUCGCUCGAUGUUCUUCAUUCCUUCAACGCCAUUCCUCGACUCCGCCUUCGACGUUGCCACCUUACUAUUCAUCUCCGCCCUCAUCGUCCUCUCCCUCCUCUCCAUCUCCUUCAUCUUCAACCUCUGCUUAAAGUCCCGCACAGCCCUCCACCUUCGGCACUUCAACUCCCUCUGGACCGUCCGAUUCCUCCUCGUCAUAUUCAUCAUCUUCUGGUCCCUCAACGAGCUCCUCCGAAUCCCCACCCUCCGCCGCACCUACCUCUACCCUUUCCUCUCCGUCCUCGCCUCCUUCGAGGAGCCCCAGUUUUGCAAAAUCCACGUGGCGCUCUCGUUAGGGUUAUUCGAGCCUGCCUUCCUCGUCACCCUGCUAUUCCUUGUCGAUGCCUCCAUUGAAAGAAAGACCCCCAAUGUCUCCUGGGCCAUCGCAUUCGUCCUCGCCACGUGUCUCCCCAUGCUUCUGGUGCAAGUCCUCUUCCUGUUCUUCCACCCGUUCCACAAGCUCCACCUGCCGCUGCCGGAGAUUUUCGUACGGAACUAUGUCGUCCAGAAGGUCGAGUACGGCAGCAGCAUGGUUUCAUGCACAUACCCUUUGUUGAACACCAUCAUGUUCGCCGCGUUCGGUGGCGCGUACUCGAUGUGGUUCUUGUUUUCGUGCUGGAGGGUUUUGUCGUUGGUGAUCAACAAGGGGCUGAGGUUGAGGAUUUACACCCUGGCCGCCACGGUAUUGGUGCCACUACCACUGCAGAUUAUUCUCAUGGGGAUGACCGUGUUGUGGAAGCCGGACCACCCGGCGUUCACCGCCCUCUCAUUCGCUGCGUUUUUGUCGACGCUAAUUUGUGCAGCCGUGGGGCAGGGCAUUUUGGUCAUUAAGCCCAUCGCAGACUCGUUAGCUGCCGGAGAAGAUCGCUGCCGCUUGAUUCGGAAGCGGAAGCCGGCGGAGGGGGUGCAGAUAAUUGUGUCGGCUGAUUAGGAAAACCAUUAAUAUUGGACGUAAAUUACAACACAAUACAUUCGAUGAUGACGAUGAGGAAGAUUACUUGAUGUUCUAGUUAGAAUUAUGAUGGCCCACUUCACCAUUCAAGAAAUCUUGUUUUCUUUUUUGGGUAAGUACACAGAUAUGGAAAAAUUCAGAAGAGGAAAAUGAGAACCUGGAUAUUAUUAAUUCGUACGCAUGAAUAUUUGAUGUUUUCCUUUCUUCCCCUUCUAGAUGUGGUAUAGAAUUUUCUUUUUUACUAACUCCCAAAAAGGAUGGACUGCCAUGGCAAAGCAUUUCAUCCCUCACCUAGCCACCAUUGUGUAUUCAAGAGCGUUAGAAAUCAAACACAUGAUGUAAUACACGGGCCCUGAGAAUUGUUUUUUCUAAUGAACCCUAGAUGUUUCCCUUGUAACGAAAUAUUUUUUGCUGUGUAAUUAUAAUAGUAUUUUACUUAAUUGCUUUCCAUAUAUCAUGAAUUCCAGUUCAAGCCCAUAGAAAUGCUCUUCAUUAGACUGGCGGCCUGGUUAUGCGCUCGGAUUGGACUUCCAAACCCAAAUCUUAACCACGGUCGUCAGUCUCGUGACCAGCAAAUUGCACAAAUUCAUUUGAUCCAUGUUCAUAUUUUUAAUCCAAAUUAUAAUUGUUUUUUUAUGUUAUUUUUCCGGGACAAUUUUGGUUUUGUUAGUGUUGGAACCAAAUCUGAAAAUCAUGGUCAGACAUUUAGUGUACAAUUUUUUUGUUGGAGUUUAAUGUACAACUUGAAGUGCAGAUUUAGACCACAAAGCAAAAAGAAAAAAUUGAGUACGAUUACCUUCCCUUCAAAUUCUUCUUCCUUUUCUUCCUUUUUUAUUUAAACGGUCAUGAUUAAAUCACGUCAAUAUCUUGUGUUGACAUUUUUUAAAAAGAAAGUGAGAGAGGAUGAGACUCCAGAAAAAACGUCGAAUUACAAUUAGAAUGUGUUGUACAACAAUAAUAAAAGGUCUUUUGUUAUAAAUCAAUUAAUCAACAUUUUGAUACCACAUGAUUUUUUUUUUUUUUAAAUGAAUCAGCUGGCAAAGCCAUGGCAGUUCACUCUUUUAUUUUGGAUGUCAACUAUUAUAUCAGUUAAUCAACAUUUUUGUUGCCACAUGAGAAAAUUCGAACCUACAUCUUCUCGGCUAAUAAACAUUUAAUUAGGUCACAUCGGCGUAACUUCAAAGGACCACCCACUUAAAGAACAAAAAGUUGAAAACCAAAUUGGUUGGCUGUUAUAAUCAAAGGUAGAUAGCACUAAAUUUUGAAACGUACUCGUUGGUGGAAAAGGAAAUGAAUUAAAAUUGAUCGUAGCUAGGAAGAAGUUUCAUUUACCUCUCAUUUCCUAAAAUUCCAAUAAGACAUUAACACUAAGACUCGAUUAUUUCCUCCACAAACUACAUAUAUUUAGGAAUUGUAAAUUGACCAACCAACCAUUUGUUCAACAAUAUUUUUCUUCUUGAUGUUGUAAGAUGUCGUAAGUUCGAGAAUCCAUCUCCUCUUUUGGUCAAAAUAAGAAAACAUAAACUCAGUCAUAAAAUUGAAUUAAUGAACAAGGGGUAUUAUUUGCUGGAGAGAUUUUUCAAUAUGCCCAUAAUACAUACCAUGAGACAGUGGCAGAGCCGGAAAUCGAAGUUAGGAGGGGCCUUUAAGCCAUAAGAAAGAAAUUGAAAGAAAAAAAAUAUAACUAACGGGAGAAAAAUGUUCAUUUUUUGAAGUGAAAUGAAUAAUUUUAAUAAAAAAAAGAGUAAUAAAGUCACAAUUUUUUUUUAGAUAAUUAUAUUGUAAGCAUUGAACUUCUUUAUAAGUUCCUAUAAUGAAGUUGAACAAAAAUUAAUAAUCAUGGCUCAAAACUACAAUUUGAAGAUUAUCUUUGAAGAUGAAUUCUUCCUAUAUUCCAUAUAUAUGUGGUUUCAUUAUAAAACAAUACUCUAUCAUGCAAAAUAGUGAACUAACUAAAGGAGGGCUAGUUGAUAUAUGCCUUUAGUUUGAUAACUAAGCUAUUGUAAAACAUAUUUAUUUUGUCAAUUAGAAAAACACAAUAAAGCUAGAUGUGAGCAAACACACAUAAGUCGAAGAAUGCAGAAUAUCCAACUAAAAGCACACAAACAAAAAGUACAAAAUGAAAAAUUCCAGGGUAAACCAAGGCCUCUCUUGUUUCUCAAGUGGCUCUGCCACUGCGAUAAGACAUAUGUUAUUAUACAAGUGGAAGGAAAGUUUUUUUUUUUUCCAUCAAGUGUCCCUCCACUUGUAUAUAACAUAUGGCGUAUGUGACCGUGUUUUGGACUCACUAAAAAAAGUUAUCAAUUUGUUGAAUAUUAAACUUGCCAUAUUAUUGAAGGGAUUAGGAUAAGCUUUACUUCAUGCUGGUGUAGAAAGUUGGAGAGCCAAAGAAAAAUCAAAAGAAAAAAGGAGGGAAAAAAAGGAAAUUAGAUGCUCCACAUAAUCAGUAAUCACCUCCCCUUUUGGUUGAGUCUUUUGACUUAAAAAAACAGCUAAACCGUUCCCAUUUUUGUGGGUCAUGAUUAAAGGGCUAUAUCUGGAAAGAUAUUCCUAGAAUUUAGAAUCCCAUGUAUCUCCAGAUCUCUUGAUCAAAUGGUCUAGGAAUGCCCAUCACAAAACUUGUGCAUCAAUCAAACCGCAGGAUUUGGUUGAUUAAUCCAAAAUUCAAGUGAUUAAACUAAACUUUGCGCUUAAGAGGGCCAAGAUAUGAGGAGCACAUGCAUCUCUGUGGGCAAUGUAACACAGUAGAAAAUGGGCAUGCAUGAUACCUUUUACUUCACAAGGAUUUUGCAGUAAUAUCUGCCACAGAAUCCGGCCCUAAAUUUGAGCUGGGCAAGGCAUGGCUCCCAUGUGGGGUAUACUAGAAGCACGUAAAAAGUCAAGGACAUUUUGGGUAGCAUGCGUGAAAUCUUUGAAUCUGGCAAAAUCAUGUCAACUAUCCGACCUUGUACUACUUGACGCAUACCAAAACAAAGUUGCCCUAAGGCUGCAGAUUAUGAGCAAUUUGAAUGCGGCAUCUCGUAAAGAGCAAGGAGAAGAACUUCUAUAUCGCAAACAAUUUACUAUAAUAAUAUUUUAAGAUAGUCAUCAUUUUUUUUAGUACAUUGAUAUUUUUACAUUAAGAGGAAAUAGAGUUCGGCUAAGUUAUAUAAUUGACAGCCUAAUUUGGUAUCAAAUUCGCCAUUUACAAGAUUCAAACUUAAGAUUUCUCACUUCCAAGUAAAAAUGAAUACCACUGGAUUAUAGUAAUUAAGUUGUAGAUAGUAAAAUUGAAAAGUUGGAAGAGAAUACAGGGUCGGACAGUUUAUGUGAUCUGAUUGCCAGAUUCAAAGAUUUCCCGCAUGCUAUCCAAAAUGCCACGACCUUUUAAGUGGUCCUAGUAUACCAGCAAUUGUAGUUAAUCAUUGUUUUAUAGUAAAAAUAAUAGGUAAUUAACAAUAUUUUAUUAAGAUAAACAAAAUGAUAGUUGAUAAUUAAUAAUUAAUUCCAAAGGACUGCAGCACAAAGUAAUCUAUCUAUACUAUUAUUAAGAAAACCAUCCUUGUCAACUUUUUUUUCUUUUUUUUCUAUUUGAACCUCACUUUUGAUACACAAUAUUGACAAAAAGGAAGGCAAAAUAGUAAUUUUGUACCUUUUGACAAAAUGACAAUCAUAUCCCUAUUUUUCCUAUUUUAUCUUUUUUUUUUUUUAGAUGAUGACAAUCAUAGUUUCCAAUUUUACCUUCAUUUUUUAUACACAAUAUUUACAUAAAAAUGAUAAAACAGUAAUUAUAUAAUAUUAAAAAAAAUAUGCAUUUAUUAAAAAAAUUGUUCACACACACAAAAAAAAAUUGCGCUCUAUGCUAGUAAGUAGUAACUAAUGAAACAAAUAUUUAAACCGAAAAAUUAAAUAAAAUUAAGAUGAUGACGUGAUGCUCCCUCAUCUAUAGAAUUGGUCCAAUCCAGUUGGACUUGGACAUGUUCGAAGCAUGUUACUGGACAGCUUCAUAUGGUGUGUGACGCGCGUGACACCUCAUUGUCGGUCGCAUUUUCCAAUCAUAUGGACCCCACAAAACUGCUGACGAGGACCAGGAGCGUCGGCCACACGUUGUCCACGUGGAUUUGAUGGCUAAAGCUGCUUCGCAAGAUUUCAAUUCUUUCCUCUAUUUUUCCUUUUUAUGAGAGGAGAAUUCCUUUGCUUUAUUUGUCGACGUGGAAUUCUCAAAUGUGUGAAUUGACACAAAAAAAAAAAUAUUAAAAUGUGUGAUAAGACUCUCCCGUUUAUAGCUGGUUUUCUAUAGUACCAAUUGUUGCUUUAUUGAAUUUGUUUUGUUAAUAAACUUGUGAUUUGACUUUGAUUGUAUUUUUAAAUGCAAAUUCAAACUCAAGUAUAAAAAUUAUUCAUAAUUUCCAUAAUUAAUUAAUUCCAUAAACCUUCCUUCUAAACGUUAUAAAAUUAUCCCCUAUCAAUACUAUUUUGCUAACGUAUUAAUUAAUUAAUUCUACCUUAUUUGUUUUGAUUGGAUUAAUAAUUAUAUACCUUAUUAGUUUUUGGAACGAAAGAAACCAAUUUGCAAUUUUUUUUUUUAAAAAAAAGUUUAAAAGGGAGAGAGGGUUGCCAGAAAACUAUGACUCGUUCAAAAGUGUUUUUUAAAAUAGCUGAAAGCACUUUUAUUGAAAAUGCUUCUGAAACCAAUUUUUAGUAAAAUAAUAAAAUGACAAGUGAAUCCUAAAAAAACACUUUAUUGUUUCAGCAUGAAUCACAUAACUGAUGCUUGUUGUAAUAAAUAAUUUAUGUGUUUUUUAAACCUAAAAAUAUCUUCUUUAAAAUUUUUAAUUAUUUUAAAAGUAAUUCUAAACAAGGCCUUAAUUUGCAAUUGUUAAUUACCAUUAAAAAUGAAAUAAAAUGAAAUAAAUAGUAAUUAUCAGGCGCGUUUUGAGAAACCUUCCUGCAAGUUGUAACCCUCCGGACUUUCCAGCGUAUACGACUUUGAUUUUACAUCUUUUCCCCCUCUACCCCUUUCCUUUCUGUAUAAGGUAAGCAAACCCAAUCUGCUCCUACGACAGCUACUAUAAAACACCAAACCCCUCCCUCUCCAAAAACCUCUCUCACCUUCUCCUUUUUCUCCAUCGAUAUUUAUGUUGGUUGUUGAAUCCGAUCAUAUAUCAUGAGCAAUAUUCCGAGAUCGUUAACCGACUCCGCCCUAACCCAGUUCAACCUCACCAUCUCCGCUUCCGAUCCGUGGCCGUUUUCUUUCGUCUUCUUAUAACCCUAACUCAACAACUUCAAGUUUCUCCAGUGUUUUCUUGCUCUCUAGGGUUUUCUGAUUUUCGGGUUUUUCGAGUUUUCGAAAAGAUGGGAUUUAUCGCCGCCGACAGGCCCAGCAAGCACAACCACCUGAACUUCCACCUCCACUUCCCCCACCUUCUCCACCACCACCACGACAAGAACAGCAAGGAGCUCAAAGAUAUUCCGAAAGGCUGUAUGGCUGUGAUGGUGGGCCAGGGGAAGGACCAGCAGAGGUUUGUUAUUCCGGUGGUCUACAUCAACCACCCGCUCUUCAUGCAGCUGCUGAAGGAGGCGGAGAAGGAGUACGGAUUCGAUCACAAAGGUCCGAUCACUAUUCCUUGCCAUGUGGAGGAGUUUCGCACCGUUCAAGGCAUGAUCGAUAGGGAGACUUCGUUCCACGGCCAUCAUCAUCAUCAUCACCAUCACAACCACCACCAUCACCAUUAUGCCUGGUGUUUUAGGGUUUGAUUUAUUAAUUGUGAAGAUUAUUAAGUAGAUAUAGGUUUCUUAAUUUCAGUUUAUUAAUUGUGAGCGAGGCAUUGGAUUCUUUUCUAAUUCUUUGGGACCUCAUAAUAUUAUUAAUUUGUUUGGAUUUCUUGUAUGAUGUCUUAUGGAUUAUUGGAUGAUUUUUCAUGAUAAAAAAUCGAUGGAUCAUCAUCGUCAUCUUAUGUAUGAUUUUUGGGAAUAUUCGUUUGGAGACGUAAUCUUUUUCUUUAUUCUUGUUGUUGAUGUGAAAUGAAUAUAUAAAAGUGGGAAGGAAGUUGCUGGUUGCUGGUUGUUGGAGAUAAGAAACUACACAAACGUAUAACACACGGUUCAAAACAUCAAGGGUGUGUGCCUUUGGAGAGAUUUUUAAUGUGCCCGCAACGCUAGUGGCAUGAUGUUAUAAUACAAAUAGAGGAAAAAGGUUUUUUUUUUUUUUUUUUUCAAGUGUUCAUCUACUUGUAUAAUGACAUCUUGCUUGGAGAAAUUUUUCAGUGUACUUGAAAUACGGUCCAAUGACACUUGGUGAACCCACCAAUGACACUUGGUGAACCCACCGUAGUUCCGGCACCCUAAAAAAUCUCUCAUUAAAGGCUUACUCACACCCAUUAGGUUUUGUUGAAGAUUUUGAUUUUUAUAUGUUGGAUUAUAUUUGAAAUUUUCCUCCACAACUUUGGAUCUCAUCGUGACAACUGAUAUAGCCGUAUUUUUCUCCACUUAUAACAUUGCUCUUAAUCUUAUCCUUCAUACUUGAGUUAUACUUCGAAAUUGUAAAUUAACUUUGAAGAGUUACUUGGGAUGAUGAGUCAUACUCAACGAAUAUAUUACGUCAACUUGAAUAUUAAUUGUUUCAUUUUUAUAAUUAUAUGACCUGCUCAUUUAGCAUUUAUAAAUAAAAGUGUGAAGGCAGCACAAAUUAAUAUUUUGAAAUUUUGAUCCAAUCAUUUGAUUUCGUCUACCUUCUGCAUUCCACCGCUGCCCCAUGCCUUGUGGAAGAUUGGUCGUUUAUUUCUCAUGUGAAAUGUCAAGUGUUUUUUGAAACAGUCCAGUUUGGGCAUGUAGACAUGCCCCUCUUUCAAAGGUCACCUGAGCAACAUUUCUUAAUUUGAUAUUACUUGAUAAGGUCAAUUGUUACCCUAAGUAAACGAGUAGCGUGAUUGUUGGCAAGUUGGAAAGACUUUUGCAUAUGGCUGCAUAAUAUAAUAAAACCUGACAUAUAUCAAUUAUUGUCCAAUUAUAUACACUGAUGAUUGAACUGAGAUCUUUUUUGGAUUUCUGUGUCUAAAGCCAACGGACUCUAAGAUCCGGACUAUUCAUUUUGAAUCUUGCAGUUCUCGUUUGCUCAUUCUACUAGCCCACCGUUUAUAAACUAAUGGUCUAGAUCUCUCUUUCUCUCUCUUUAACGGUGCGAAUCUCUAAGUCUUUGAACUCCAGACAUAGAUAUUAAGAAAACAUCUCGAUUCCUCAUUAGUAAUUAUGUGACAGUGUGACUAUUGCAUCUCGGCUAAGGAGUGCCGCAUGCCGCCGAUCAUAGGCAAGAACCACGCCAAUUCGCCAAGGAGAGGUUUAUUGUAUGUUUGUUUGACUUUGAUCAAAAGGCCAGCCACUGACCAAGUACAACCCAUCCCGCCAACACGAAACUUUGAUCGUAAGCAAACGUAGAAAUGUAACCAAUAUUUUAUGGAAUUAAAUUAUAGAUAAACAUAUUGACACCAUUGGAUUGAUGAAAAUUAAAGGGAAUUUAAUUAUCAUCGCGUUUUAAAUAAAAAACUUAAUUAGUAACUCUUACAGUUCUUACUUUCAACAGUUAUUUUUGUAGAUUUUCAAAUAUGGCUCAAUUUUAAUUUUUUUAUAAAUUAAAACUAUGUCUGUGUUAGUUUAUCUUAUGUUGUCAUCGGUCUCAAGCCCAAAUAAUGAAGGAGGGCGAGUGUCAAGUAAUCAACAUGCAUCACUCAAUUUUUCACGUCGAAUCCAAAUCUAAAACAAAAUUAAGCUAAAACUAGAUCGUCACUCGGAGAUGAUGUGAUGUGGCGUCAAGGCACAAUGAUAAGUAAGCAAGGAUCACCAUAUCUCCAUUGGGCGCCCAGAUGCAAUGUAAACGGGCCAAUCGCGAAAACAAUCAUAAGUUUCAAAAGUUUCGCAACAUGAAGCUUGAAGAAGUGAAAUUAUAAUGCAAAGCAUUCUUCUAAACUUACACUUGUAAACAUUAAUAUUGGAAUGUCUUUACAAAACUCUGUAACCUUACCUUCAAAGGAUUGGAACACAAAAAUAACCCAUACAAAUGUAAAUGCAAAAGCUUUCUUCGAUAGCAUUGCCUCUACCAUCGUAGCGGUCGCAACUGGCACGAAGAUGUCGAUGCGUUUUCAAGGGUCUUGAACAAAUUCUUCUGCAUAAAAUCUCUCAAAUUAUUGACAUGGACCUAUAUCUCUUCACUCACAACCUGACACUCCAUUUUCACCUUCACUCGCCAAAGGGGCGGACAAGGUUCUCAAAGAAUUCAAAACACUGUUGGUAAAUUUUUGAAGAGAACAUUAUAUAUCCCGGUUUCAUUUAUGGACGUCUAGGAUUGGAACUACGCACUGUCACACCAUGCAAAAAUUUGGUGUAUCCAAGGAGCGUAAGUUUUCUGUCUGAAGGUCGGAUCCAGUCAUUGAGUAAUUGAUAAGAUGUAGGACCAAGAUUCAUUUCCUGCAUAACGUUUUAUUUUUCUUCAGUUAGCUGGUAAUCAUUUGACAAACUGAUCCAGUUACUUGGUUCCAUGUGAUAUUUUGAAAGUGACAUGUACACAAGCAAGACAAAAGACUGAUGUGCAUACCUGUGCCAACUCCUCAACAGAGAUGACCCGGUUUCCUUCAUUUUCGAAAUGCUCAAACGCCGUACUUGCAAUCUUCUCCCAUCCUUCAUGAGCUUCUAGCUGAUAUGAACUUAUUGCAGCGACGCAGAACUCUUCGAAGUCCAAUUUCUUGUGUGAGAGGGGUUCCAUCUUGAAUUAAAAACUAGAAUAUGAGUAUAUGCCUCAUGCAAAAGCCAAAAUUAAAGAAAUAAAAUGAAAAAUUGUAUUGGAAAAAUGGUUUUGUUUAUCAAUUCUAUCAAUUCUAUGAAGGCUGUGUUUGUCAAUAGAAAAGACAAGCCAGCAAUGAAAAAGUCAGAGAAGAUAACAAACUCUAGACCAAAAGUUCUAGAAUCCUCCAACAUUAAGAAAAAAAAGGUGUGUUCUCUUUGUUUCAUUAAAUAUAACCAUACAGAAAAAAACGCUAUUCCGCCUGACCUAUCUCACAAUAUCCAACAGUGUGCAUUUUAUAUUAAAGUUUUAAACAAAAAGCAAUUACGCAAGUUUCAACUUUGCAUAGGAAUCUACUAUACAUGAAAUUAGCAAACAAAUUUGGGACCAUUCCACCAUUGAAAUCAAAGAACGUGAAGGCAUCAAGAUCGCUUACCAAAUUUAUAAUGUCAUAAACCCUUGACAUCUUCAUGGCAUCAGUUGAAUUUUUCAUGAGGGCCUGGAAUAUUCUUCACGAUAAGUUGAAAAAGUCAUGAAAAAACAAUGAAGAUAAAAUAAUUUGAAACAUCUAACUAUAGUAGAGAUAUUGAAUUGCCCUAUUAUAACACGUCCAUAGAUAAUACGGGUCCAAAAUGGGAUCCUAAAAUGUAACAAAAGAAGUAUUGUUAAAGCAAUAAGAACUCUGACUAACCGUUCUGAAAUUAUCAAGGGAAACACGUCCAUUUUUUGGACCCAAGAGCCUAAAUUGAGCCCUAAGAUAGAAGAGCUCGUCUUCUGUUAAAGCCUUGGAGAGAGCCUGUGAAUAACAAAAUAUGUCACCAACUUGCAAAGGAUGCCUUCUAAAAUCACAAAUGUGGGUUUGUGUGUUUGUGUGUAUGAAAGAUUGCAUUGCCCCAAAAGUAUGCCAUUCAUGCCUGACGACACCCCAGCUUGUUAGCUUUGAUUUUAAGUUGUUUCUUCUUUUUUCUUUCCAAUUCUUUCUUCACAUUUUGGGGGAUUUGGAGGGCAUGUUUUCUUGUGAAGGAAUGUUACCUUUAGUGCUGCACGCUUGAAGGGUGAGGACCGAACAUACGAUUUAACCAACUUGUAGAUUAAAAUAUCUAAAGGCACAUCAUGUUUUUCAUCUCGUAACCAUGGGUGAGCUGUGAACACAAGAAAUAGUUAUCAGGAUACCUCAACAGGAAAUAACUGUACAUGCCUCUAGCAGAGAUAUUUAGUGCAAUAUUAAGGAUGUAUGAAAUAUUUAAAACCAACUUACUUAAAGCUUGGGCAGCAGUCAUUCUUUUCCUGUGGUCCUUAUUCAGAAGCCUUUUAAGAAAAUCUUUGGCUUCUGAGGAGACUGAAGGCCAAGGAGAAUCAUCAAAAUUAGGAUCAGCUCUUAGCACUGAACGAAAGAUUCCUGAUUCAGUUCGUGCCCAGAAAGGUCUACUUCCACAUAGCAAUAUAUAUGUUAUGACACCAACACUCCACAUAUCUGCUUCGAGACUGUAAGAUCUAUAUAACACCUCAGGUGCAACAUAGUACGCACUUCCAACAAUAUCAUUGAGACGUUGAUCUGCACAUGUAAAACUAAAUGUUCUGUGAAAACAAUGCAAUGUUCAGAUAACUAAAGUCUCAUAAUUAGAUUGAUUUCUAAGGAGGGAAGUUUCAUUUCUCACACAAAUAUGCCAACAUAUCAGAAAGAAAAAAAAAAAAAAAAAAAAAACCCUCUUUGAAAAAGGUUAAAGAAAAUACUUCCAAUGAAACAAAUAGUUAUUGACGAUGCUUGGCAACACAAUAAAAAAUAAUAAUCAUAUAGGUAAGAACUUCAUGACAAGAAACAAUUAGCAGUUGCACAUCAUAUAUUGAAGCAGAAGUAUAGUGUGGAAAGCAACCAUUACCAGGCCUAAUAAGGUCAGAAAGACCAAAAUCAAUAACCUUCAUCCUCAUCUCUGAAAAGCAUUCUUCCUUCAUUAGUUCUUGUAUGUGAGAAUGAAAAAUAACGUGAACAUGAACAUCCACAAUUAUCUAACUGUUAGUUCAAACUUUCUUCUGAAUGUAGUACCUCUGGCUUUAGAUCACGGUGUACGACACCUUGGAGAUGACAGAAGGAAACAACGCUUAAAAUUUGCACAACAAUAGUUUUAGCAUCCUUUUCUGUGUAUCUUCCACCCCUGCCACAAAGUAGUGAUUAAGAAUAAAUCCUUUAACUCAUACAAUCCGAAAGUGCAAAUUACAAGUACAAUACAAGAAAGAAAAUACAGCAUUUCAUUCUACCUUGACAAAAUUUUAUCCAGUAGUUCUCCACCUUC
rnacentral:lncRNA from 1 species